UGUGGCUCAGUGGUAGAGCGUUUGCCUAGUAUGUGGGAGUUCCUAGGUUCAAAUCCCAGCA
rnacentral:tRNA from 1 species